ensembl:lincRNA
GUCUGAGGGGACAAGGAGUGGAGAGGCUUGUCCAUAAAAGCGCAGAGGAGGGCUGGCUGAGAGGUGUGCAGUCCUGCCUGCUCACCUGCUUGCUGGCAGCCUGCUGCUGUCCCAGUUGGCACCAUGCUCCCCAAGGCUCUGGUCCUCUGUGCCCUGUGUGUCUUGGCUGAGGCUUUGCCCUUACCAGGCCUAGGAUUGGUCACUUCCCUACCUGAAUUGGCCAACAUUAUAAAUGAGCUCCAUGCUGGUACAGACACAACCAGGGAUAAAGAUUCAACAGCUGGUGUAGCCCAGACCUAUGGGUCAGAGUCAACCGGGAGCAUAUUCCAGGGGGACACACAGACUCUCAACCCACUUGUGGACCAAGAUUCAACAGCUGGUGUAGCCCAGACCUAUGGACCAGAAUCAACUGGGAACAUAUUCCAGGAGGACACACAGACUUUCAAAUUCUCUACUGCCUCGGUGUUGGACAUGUCCCCCUUUGACUCUGUGGAAGAAACCAGUGAGGCUACAGAAAAAGAAACAAAGUCUACAGCAAGCAGGGCUACCUAUCUGGCAUCCUCCACUUUCUGAGAAGAUGCACAUGUUUGAAGAAGCUAUCACAUACCGCAAGAGAGUGCAUAAUUGUAGAAAAGUAGUGAAAAAUUAGAUGUACCCAGCUGAAAGGAAACAUCAAGACAUGGAUCUUGGAUGAGUGCUGUGUAUUGUACAUGCAUAAGAGAGGGGCAUUUCUUAGCUCCAUCCCAUUUAAUAUGGGCUUAAUAAACUUUCACUGAAAUGCAUUUUGAGAGUUUUCAUUUUAGAAGAGAAG